rnacentral:lncRNA from 1 species
GUCGGAAAGAAUACUGUGAAUUAUGCAAGCACAGAUUUGCUUUCACACCAAUUUAUUCUCCAGAUAUGCCUUCACGGCUACCAAUCCAAGACAUUUUUGCUGGACUGGUUACAAGUAUUGGCACUGCGAUACGAUACUGGUUUCAUUACACACUUGUGGCCUUUGCAUGGCUGGGAGUUGUUCCUCUUACAGCAUGCCGCAUCUACAAGUGCUUGUUUACUGGCUCCGUGAGCUCACUACUGACACUGCCACUAGACAUGCUGUCAACGGAAAAUUUGUUGGCGGAUUGCUUGCAGGGUUGUUUUGUGGUGACAUGCACACUUUGUGCAUUCAUCAGCCUGGUGUGGUUACGAGAGCAGAUAGUCCAUGGGGGAGCACCAAUUUGGCUGGAGCAUGCUGCUCCACCCUUCAAUGCUGCUGGACACCACCAAAAUGAGGCUCCUGUAGGAGGAAAUGGAGCAGAAAACCCUGCUGCUGAUCAGCCAGCUAACCCAGCAGGUGAGAAUGCAGUUCUGGGUGAGAACCCUGAUGCCCAGGAUG